GAUGAACGCUGGCGGCGUGCCUAAUACAUGCAAGUCGAGCGGACGGACCCGAAGCUUGCUUCUCUGUUGUUAGCGGCGGACGGGUGAGUCACACGUGGAUCCCCUCCCUAUAAGACUGGGAUAAUUUCGGGAAUCCGGCUCUAAUCCCGGAUAAUCUUUUGAACCGCAUGGGUGAAUGGUGAAAUUCGGUCUUGGUGUCACUUAUAGAUGGAUCCGCGCUGCGUUGGCUAGUUGGUAAGGUAACGGCCUAUCAAGGCAACGAUGCGUGACCGACCUGCGAGGGGGAUAGGCCACACUGGAACUGAGACACGGACCAGGCUCCUACGGUAGGCAGCAGUAUGGAAUGGUCCGCAGUGGGCGAAAGCCUGACGGAACAACGCCAAGUGAGUGAUGAAAGUCUUCCGAUCGUAAUACUCUGUUAUUAGGGAAGAACAGAUGUGUAAGUAACCGUGGACAUCGUGACGGUACCUAAUCAGAAAGCCACGGCUAACUACGUG
rnacentral:rRNA from 1 species